GGCACGAUGGCCAAGUGGUAAGGCGUCGGUCUUGUAAACCGAAGAUCACGGGAUCAAUCCCCGUUCGUCCCU